ensembl:snoRNA SNORD18 Small nucleolar RNA SNORD18
CAACUAUGAUGAUGAUACAACUUCGGUCCGUGUUGCUGAAUCCUGAUUGUAUAGAAGUUCUGAGCGA